rnacentral:rRNA from 1 species
GACAGAGGGUGCAAACGUUGUUCGGAAUUACUGGGCGUAAAGCGCGUGUAGGCGGUUUGGUAAGUCGGAUGUGAAAGCCCUGGGCUCAACCCAGGAAGUGCAUUCGAUACUGUCAAGCUAGAGUAUCGGAGAGGUUGGUGGAAUUCUCGGUGUAGAGGUGAAAUUCGUAGAUAUCAGGAGGAACACCGAUGGCGAAGGCAGGUCUCUGGGCCGAUACUGACGCUGAGGAGCGAAAGCGUGGGGAGCGAACAGG